rnacentral:rRNA from 1 species
AAGCGCUUACAACCAGACUUGAGCGCGGCGGUUCCCCUAGCCUUUUGGCUAGGCUACUCCGCCGUGUCCAGGCCAACAUCGGUUCUGAGGGUCGGUUAAAGGCCUUGGGAAUGUAUCUACCUACGGGUAGACUUAUAGACCAGGGUGUCAUGCGGCCUC